rnacentral:rRNA from 1 species
GACGUAGGGCGCGAGCGUUGUCCGGAUUUAUUGGGCGUAAAGAGCUCGUAGGCGGCUUGUCGCGUCGACUGUGAAAACCCGCAGCUCAACUGCGGGCCUGCAGUCGAUACGGGCAGGCUAGAGUUCGGUAGGGGAGACUGGAAUUCCUGGUGUAGCGGUGAAAUGCGCAGAUAUCAGGAGGAACACCGGUGGCGAAGGCGGGUCUCUGGGACGGUACUGACGCUGAGACGCGAAAGCGUGGGGAGCGAACAGG